rnacentral:rRNA from 1 species
UACAGAGGGUGCAAACGUUGUUCGGAAUUACUGGGCGUAAAGCGCGUGUAGGCGGCCCUGUAAGUCGGAUGUGAAAUCCCACGGCUCAACCGUGGAAGUGCAUUCGAAACUGCAGGGCUAGAGUCCUGGAGAGGAAGGUGGAAUGCCUGGUGUAGAGGUGAAAUGCGUAGAUAUCAGGCGGAACACCGGUGGCGAAGGCGGCCUUCUGGACAGUGACUGACGCUGAGACGCGAAAGCGUGGGGAGCAAACAGG